rnacentral:rRNA from 1 species
AGAGUUUGAUCCUGGCUCAGAGUGAACGCUGGCGGCGUGGAUUAGGCAUGCAAGUCGAGCGAUUCUCUAUCGGGCUCUGCAGUUCGACGCAAGAAGAAAUGCAGAAUCUGACUUAGGAUAGCGGCAAACGGGUGAGUAACGCGUGAGUAAUUUGCCCUGAAACCAGACAUAGCUUCGUGAAAACGGAGGUAAUAUCUGAUAAUGCCAUUAUAACGCAUGUUAUUUUGGUUAAAGGUGGGGAUCUUCGGACCUGCCGUUUCGGGAUGAGCUCGCGUCCUAUCAGCUUGUUGGUGGGGUAACGGCCUACCAAGGCAUUUGACGGGUAGCUGGUCUGAGAGGAUGGUCAGCCACACUGGGACUGAGACACUGCCCAGACUCCUACGGGAGGCUGCAGUCGAGAAUAUUUAGCAAUGGGCGAAAGCCUGACUAUGCGACGCCGCGUGAAGGAUGAAGGUUUUCGGAUCGUAAACUUCUUUUCUAAGGAGCGAACGUUUAUUCAUUAAUAGUGAAUAAAUCUGACGGUACCUCAGGAAUAAGCCACGGCCAACUCCGUGCCAGCAGCCGCGGUAAUACGGAGGUGGCAAGCGUUACUCGGAAUCAUUGGGAGUAAAGGGCAAGUAGGCGGUUUAGUAAGUGAGGGGUGAAAUCUUCCGACUCAAUCGGAAAACUGCCUUUCAAACUGCUAGACUUGAGGAAGGAAGAGGAAAAUGGAAUUCUCGGUGUAAGGGUGAAAUCUGUGGAUAUCGAGAAGAACACCGGCGGCGAAGGCGAUUUUCUGGUCCUUUCCUGACGCUGAAUUGCGAAAGCUAGGGGAGCAAACAGAAUUAGAUACUCUGGUAGUCCUAGCCGUAAACGAUGAGCACUAGGUGUUGGCCCUUUUGGGGUCAGUGCCGCAGCUAACGCAUUAAGUGCUCCACCUGGGGACUACGGUCGCAAGGCUAAAACUCAAAGGAAUUGACGGGGGCCCGCACAAGCGGUGGAACAUGUGGUUCAAUUCGAUGCUACGCGAAAAACCUCACCAAGGCUUGACAUGCAGGAAGUAGUGAAAUGAAAGUGGAACGACCUGUCAAAUCAGGAGUCUGCACAGGUGCUGCAUGGCUGUCGUCAGCUCGUGUCGUGAGAUGUUGGGUUAAGUCCCGCAACGAGCGCAACCAUUACCCCUUGUUGCCACCACGAUAUAGUCUUCGGAUUAUAUUGUGAGCACUCUAGGGGGACUGCCUGGGUUAACCAGGAGGAAGGCGGAGAUGACGUCAAGUCAGUACGGCCUUUAUGCCUUGGGCUACACACGUGUUACAAUGGUCAGAACAAAGAGUUGCCAACCCGCGAGGGGGAGCUAAUCUCAAAAAACUGGCCUCAGUUCAGAUUGGAGUCUGCAAUUCGACUCCAUGAAGCUGGAAUCGCUAGUAAUGGCAGAUCAGCACGCUGCCGUGAAUACGUUCCCGGGCCUUGUACACACCGCCCGUCAAGCGAUGGGAGUUGGUGGUACCCGAAGUCCUACGCAAGUAGGCCUAAGGUAAAAUCAGCGACUGGCGCUAAGUCGUAACAAGGUA